GUGGAAGGGGCUGAACUGGAAGGUGAUGGUACAACACAUGAGUAGAGACAAUGAGGGAAGGACAUAAAGAGGGGAAGAGAACAUCUAGGUUCUAAUUGGAAAAGGCAACUUGAUGGAUGAGGUACCAAAGUAAAGCAGAGUUUAAUCUCCUAUCCUGUGACAGGUUGUGCAGAGUACUCACCUCAGCCCGCGGAGCUGCUGUGCGGUCAAAAAUAGGUACUUGAUGUGAAAUGCUUUUACUGCAAAGAAAGGGGACAGCAGGGAGAUAAACAUGCCUUUCUAGUCAUAAAAAAUGCUACACAAUCAGUAGUACAAUGUCUGUAUUUUUACUAUUUAAGAGGCAGGCAAGCCAUAGACCACUGGAGAAACUGCAUGAAAAUGAAUCUGUGUGCAGCACUGAAGUAAAAAAAUAUGGAUGCAACAACAUUGCCCUAGUUCCCUCAGUUUCAGUUCAGAGUAGCAACAAUCUGAUGGUGUCUGCUGUUGAGAACAGAUGGAAUUUUCAAUAUAGUCAGUAUCCUGGACUUCCACAGCACUGCUUAGCCCCCCUACUCUGCCUUCUGGGCAUCUCUGUUUCUAGCAUUUAUGGCAUUUAGUUCAAACUCUGUCAUCAUACACACAUGCAAUUUCUGCAGCGUUUGAGGUAAGUGAAAAGGAAGCGGGUCCAUCUUUGCUAUGCUGAAAGGAGAAUUAAUUUGUCUAAAGGGUAAUGAAGUAUGGCGUCUACUUAACAGCUCUCCAAAGGGGUGUCAAUGCUGCUAUGUAGGACAGGCCCCUGUUUAGACAAAGGACAGAAACAAAUUAAAUAUUCCGUUUCAUUUAGUGUAUGAACCAGAUCUCACUGAAUUCAUUGCCAAAACUCACAUUGACUUCAGUGGUGCAAGCCUAUGUCAUUAAUCUUGGCCUGUAUAUUCUGCACAUUAUAAUAGAAAUUACCAUUAAAGAAAUACAGGCAGAUAGAACUGGACAGUAUUUUUUAAAAGCAAGCUAUACUCUCCUUUUGGAAUUUUCCUUUAAUGCAAGUACCACAUCCACUUUAAAAAUCUGAGAUUACUGAAAAGAAGAAAUACUCUGUGUUCACUCCACCACAAAGAUCCUCAUAUUGGGAAUUCAUGGAUUCACACGGGAAACACAGUGGUGACCCUCAUCUCUCUCUCUCCCCCCCAAAACUGGACAGCAUCUUUUACAUCAAGAAAUGCUGAAAAAACAUGUCAAUCACUUACACUCGGCGUGUCCGUGGGCGAAGCCGUCUCAGUCUGUGAGGCACCUGCUCGCUAUCGAAGGUUGAGUGGUAGAAGAACAGCCGUACAUCUUCAUCCAUCAACACCCAAGCAGGGAGGCAGAGUAGGUUCUGUGCCAAGAGCAAGGAGGAAGCAGAGUGUAGCAGUGGGAGAGACCAAUUCUCUAUUUAUUUACAUGCAACAAAUAUGCCUCUCUGACCUACAGGAUCAUGAAGGAUAUUCAUUACUGCCAGAAAUCUCUCUCCUCUCCCUUCUCACUCAGCAGGACACAGCUGAACAGCUGACAGUUUCUCUUCUUUACUCCUGGAGUUGGCCAAUGUAUUGCUUCACUCUUUUUGUACCUGAUUUACUGCAGAAGUAAAUUGUUUUUUUGUUUCCCUUCAGAACAUGAAUGACUGUGGAAAGAAGGCAAUCUUAAGUCAUGUAAGCCUUGGCCAGUGUUUCAAGCUUUUAGUGAUUUAAAGUCAGGUCUUCAGUUAACCUGCACACAAAGAAUUUCUCUCCUUGAUGUUUACUGGAUGCAUCUUCACUGUAGAGCAGGUAUAACCAGAAGCCCACCUGUCCUGAUUCUGGCUGUGACAGAGCCAGUUUUCUUCUUAGUAGCUGGUACAGUGCUGUGUGUUGGAUUUAGCAUGAGAAUGAUGUUGGUAGCACACUGCUGUUUUAGUUGCUUCUAACCAGUGGCUCACUAAACCAAGGACUUUUCCAUGCUCUGCUAGUGAGGAGCUGCACAAGAAGCCAGGAGGGACCAUGGCCAGGACAGCUGAUCCGAACUGGCCAAAGGGGUAUUCCAUCCCAUAGAAUGCCCAGUAUGUAAAUUGUGGGGAGUUGGCUUGGAGCCACUGGUCACUGCUCAGAGGACUGGCUGGGUAUCAGUCAGCAGGUGGUGAGCAAUUGUGUUGUGCAUCACUUGUUUGUUUUUUUCUUUAGUUUUAUUUCUCUCUGUCUUUUUCAUUAUCUCCCUUUAAAUUACAAUUAUUAGGAUUAUAUUUUACUUUAUCUCAAUUAUUAAACUUUACUUAUCUCAA